rnacentral:rRNA from 1 species
AUGGAUAUGCGUGAGGAAAGGCAUGGAAAGGAGGCGAUUGUGAGCGAGUUCCCACUGGGGUUGCGUGUGCUCGCUAUUGACAAUGAUCCUGUCAGUCUCAAGGUCCUGGAAAUUCUCCUGCGCAUGCGCAACUACCGUCCGACAAUCAUGAGGGACGCGAUGACGGCCCUCCAGAUGCUUAGGGAGGGGAGGGACAAUUUCGAUCUGGUGGUCAGCGAUGUGUACCUAUCGGACAUGGAUAGCUUCAAGCUUCUCAAUCUCAUCAACCUCAAGAUGGAUUUGCCGGCCAUCGUGUUAUCAGCGGACGAGAGGCCCGAGGCUAUGAAGAAAGGCAUAGCUUAUGGGGCGUGCGAGUACCUGGUGAAACCAGUGCAAACCAAGCACCUCGAUAUCAUGUGGGGGCAUGUCAUGGCGAGGAGAACCCCUGAACCAUGGAGCCUCAGCAGCAGCAUCCGUAAUGCUGCCGCUGAGAAGGCGCAGCCUACAGGAGGACCCGGCGCCGGCGAGCAGGACGGUGCAAAGAGCACCAAACGUGGAUGGACGAAGAGUCAUGAACAUGAUGAAGAUGGCCAUGAUGCGAACAAGGAGAACUUGUCACCAAACCCAUCGACCUGGAAGAAGCCGAGGACGACAUGGAGAAAUGAUCUGCAUGACAAGUUUGUGGAGGCUGUCAGUCAGAUCGGCAUCAAGAGGGCUGUUCCAUCGAAGAUACUGGCCGCCAUGAAUGUGGAUAACGUCUCCAGAGAGAGUGUUGGGAGUCAUCUGCAGAAGUACAGGAUGCAUCUCGCAAGGACCGAGGACGGGGCAGACGAGAGGCGCAAUUUGCUUGUUGCUGAAAGCUGGGGAGAAGGUAUCAAGUAUUUCCAUGGACAUGGGAUAUAUCGGCCGUCCACAAACCCUGCCUCUUGGAACCUUGCCAGUCUCCCCACAAGGAUGGAUCAUCCGUCCGCGUUCAGAGCGCGUGGUGCCGGUGUCCAUGGUGGCAGCAUGCUCUUCAGGCCUUGGUUGCCGUGGCUGCUGCCGGGUUCGAGACAGCGGCCCUCUUCCUCCAGCGCAUAUGCAAACAGGACAAAUGGCACAGGGGCGUGGGACGAAUUUGGUUCCAGCCAUUCCCGCGGCGAGUCAUCCUACAUGGGCAUGCUGCGUGGCAAUCUACUGGGGGCAAACAGAGGCUUUCAGGGUAGUGGCAGCUCCCUUGCGGACGGAAAUAGACACAAUGGUGGGACCUCUUUGCCGGUGAAUCAGUUUUCAGUGCGGCCAUCUCGCCUACUGGGGUUCCAGCCUCCGGUUCAGAGGAGUCCGUAUGGAGACGCCGGGAACCGCCUAGGCAACUCCUGGCAAGCAGCUGUGAAGUAUCCUGAUCUUAGCCGUGACUAUUGGAACAUCCCCAACAUCAACCAGCUCACAGGCCUUGCAGCCUCACCAGCUGGCCGGAUAGCUGGCCAAACACCGAUGAGUCUCGACAACCUGAAGAACCAAAUAGCAGCUUUCGUAAACGGCACAACAUCGAUGGCAGGUUCCGGUGAGGAGAUGGCGUCGUCGUUCGACGCCGGUGUAGCCAUCAACAACAGCACAAGCUCAGUACAGGUGUUGAAUGGUGACUUCGCAAUCGACGGCAACACAAGCUCGGUAGAGAUGUUGAAUGGUGACCUCGCAAUCAACGACAACACAGGCUGGGUAGAGAUGCUGAAUGGUUACCUCGCAAUGGAUGGCGGCACAAGCUUGGUGGAGAUGCCGAAUGGUGACUUCGCACUUGGUAGCGCUUCAAGCAUCCGUGCUGCAAUGCCUGACCUUCAGAUGGGCAUUUCUGCCGCGCCAACUCAGAUGCUGAAUGAUGGUGGUGCAGGCGGCGUUCUCCCUGCGCAAGCACAAGGCACAGCUGAUCAGGAAGCUGUUGAUGGUCAACUGAAUAUCGACAGUGAUGAUUUCUUGGAAGCUGUUGUUGAUAGUUUUUCAAUGGAUGACAUUCUUACCACGAUCAACAUGCUUAAUGAGGAUUUAUCAAUCAACAACAACAUAAGCUCGGUGGAGAUGCUGAACGGUCAUUUGGCAAUCAACAUGAGCUCGGUGAAGAUGCCGAAUGGUAACUUCUUAAUCAACAACAACAUGAGCUCGGGGGAGAUGCCGAAUGGUAACUUCGCAAUCAACAACAUCAUGAGCUCGGUGGAGAUGUCGAAUGGUAACUUUGCAAUCAACAACAACACAAGCUCGAUGGAGAUGUCGAAUGGUAACUUCGCAAUCAACAACAACACAAGCUCAGUGGAGAUGCUGAAUGGUGGCAUCCUCUCUGCGCAAUCACAAGGCACAGCUAAUCAGGAAGCUGAUGAUGGUCAACUGAAUAUCGACAGUGAUGAUUUCUGGGAAGCUGUUAAUGAUGGUUUUUCGAGGGAUGACAUUUCUACCAUGAACAUGUUUAAUGAAGAUUUAUUAAUCAACGAUGUUAAUAUCUUGGGUAGAGAGCUGUAG